CGGGGUGUAGCGCAGUUUGGUAGCGCAACUGGUUUGGGACCAGUAGGCCGCACGUUCAAAUCGUGUCACCCCGACCA
rnacentral:tRNA from 1 species